UCAUGCUCGUCUGGUUAUGUUCUUUGCUGAACAACUUUACUUCUAUAUCCUCGUUGCCAGCUGUUUUCUCCAAACCGUCGGUACUGUUGGAAAGAUCAACCGGAUCAGCUUCUUUCUCGGACAUUUCAAUAUCAUCAGGUUUCUCGUUUGGUUCAGGUUGAACCUCUAAUGGGAGAUCAUUUCCAGUGUUGAUGGGACUUGUCUCUUUACCAGAAUCUCCGGAGGCAGGUUUUGAAUCACCACCCGUUGACUCCUCUGUACUCUCUAUAUCUGGUUUUGUUUUACCUGGAAGAAGGGAACUAGGUAACAUCUCAUUAUUAUCUUUAGCCACUUGCUGUUCAUCUCUAUCACCGCUGAACAACUUUACUUCUAGAUCCUCGUUGCCAGCUGUUUUCUCCAAACCGUCGGUACUGUUGGAAAGAUCAACCGGAUCAGCUUCUUUCUCGGACAUUUCAAUAUCAUCAGGUUUCUCGUUUGGUUCAGGUUGAACCUCUAAUGGGAGAUCAUUUCCAGUGUUGAUGGGACUUGUCUCUUUACCAGAAUCUCCGGAGGCAGGUUUUGAAUCACCACCCGUUGACUCCUCUGUACUCUCUAUAUCUGGUUUUGUUUUACCUGGAAGAAGGGAACUAGGUAACAUCUCAUUAUUAUCUUUAGCCACUUGCUGUUCAUCUCUAUCACGUGGGAAAGCGACAUCUUGACCAUUCAUAUCAGUGUAGGCCCUGGCUCCAACAGACGACCCACUUCUUUGCAAUUCUUGGUUGAACUCAGAGCUGUAAUUCCUAAAGGAUUCAUUAUUUCUCCUUGCUCUCAUAUAAUUUCUUGAACCCACCGAGUUAUGUUCAUCAGGAAACAUUCUCCUAUCGCCUACACCACUCUCGAAACGUGAAAGAGCUGAUGUCCGACCUUCAUCAACAUCUUGUCGCUUAAACCCCUGAAAAUUCCCAACCGGGCUCUUUAAGUUACCAUUUGGCAAUUUCCCUGAAAGAGCGUUCGGUGGCAGUAGCCCUUUGGAAACCAGGUACUCGGCUGCUAAACGUCCAGCUUCCAUGAAAAGAUCAUUUCCAUGCGAAGGCUGCUGAAACCCAAACUGCUUCGGUUGACCACGCCCAAAUCCACCUCGAUUAUAGUUUCCGUACUCCAAGUUGUGCAAUCCACGACCUCUUGCUGUUCCUUCGGGUGAAACCCGCGAGGCAGUAGCCACACCACCCAUCCCCAUUGAACUACCAGACUUAUACCCAGCUACUGAACUCCGAUGCCUGGCGUGCAUUUUUUUCAAAAACUGGAUCUUUUAAACUUAAAAAUGUAAGUCUUUUUCCAAAUUCCUCAAAUGAUCAAAGGGGUUGAAGAAUUUCUCAAGGGUUCAGUUCUUCUUCACCAAUUAAACUUGUACUUACAAGGGAUUCAGUUCUUCAACCAAACACAAGCUAAACAACAAUUGCAGUUUCUAUAACCCAUUCUCAGAAAGCUAAUAAAGUAUAUUUCCUUUUGUUUGUUCCAAAUUCAUCGAUCAUUGAAAAACCCAACUAAAACUAAACAGUCAAUAAGGUCAAAGAUUCAAUCUUUACAGUUCUGUUAAGUGACAAUCUAGAAUUUAGCAGCAGCAGUGUUACCUUUUAGGGAAAUGAAGCAAAUGUGUUUCUCUGGGCUGCAGCUUCAAUCGUUAUUGUUUUAGGUUUCAGAUCUAUUUCAUGAUCAUCAAAUUGUACUCCUCCUUGCAAUUU
rnacentral:lncRNA from 1 species